ACUAUGGCAUGGACCCUCAUCCUCGAGCCCCACUACUCAGAGGAGCUGGGAAGAAUUUCCACCCUUCCUAGUGGCAAGUCUCACUGUGAGAGCGGAGUGCCACCAGGCAAACAGGGCAGAAAGACUGCUUUAAGGAGAAUCCUUAUAUUGGGGGUUAUGAAGUGCAAUACACCCUCAUCCUCACGCUAACACUGGUACCAUGUAGCCCAAGCUUGUCUAACCUGCAGCCCGCGGGCUGUGUAUGGCCCAGGACAGCUCUGAAUGUGGCCCAACGCAAAUUUGUAAACUUUCUAAAACAUUAUGAGAUUUUUUUUUCUCAUCAGCUAUCAUCAGUGUGAGUGUAUGUUAUUUGUGACUCAAGACAAUCCUUCUUUUCCAAUGUGGCCCAGAGAAGCCAAAAGACUGGACACCCCUGAUGUGGCCCUUUCAUCCAUAGUAGCCUAUUUUGUCCUAAAGACGGUCUUGUGCAGUGAGUAGGCCAGGCCUCCCCACUACCACAGUUUACAGGCAAGGAAUGUGAUAUUUCAUAGGAUGACCCUGACUGGCACCUACAUUGCUAGCCAAAGAAUGGCACAAAGAUGUGGACAGAAGAGACAACCUUAAGCAGCUGACUGCUGGCUCCUGCAACAGUAUCAUCAUGGCAUUUGUCCUGGGGUCCCAAGGAAAGAAAACAAAUCUGUGGCUGAGGAACAGACUGAGUUGACAAAGCAGCUUCCACAGUAACACAAGGACAAAGGGUGUAUGUAGAUAUGCACGUGGUAGCAGGUUCUACUAAAGGAACCUGGACCGACCAUUCUCACUCACAUUCUUUGGGAGCUGUAUUCUAAUACUUUCAGAAAAGCCAUGGGAACACACCAGAGUGACUGCUCGAGUAAAUAAGUAGCAUAAACAGCAAGCCAAACCAUUGAUGUACACAUCACUGGGCCCAAUACUAUGAAAUCCCACAUAAGAAACUUGAAAGUGAAAGCUGGAAUUCUGAGGAUACUGGUUUUGCUUAAUAAACAGCAUUUCAACAGGUGAGUCAA
rnacentral:lncRNA from 1 species